GGAUGUGAGGGCGAUCUGGCUGCGACAUCUGUCACCCCAUUGAUCGCCAGGGUUGAUUCGGCUGAUCUGGCUGGCUAGGCGGGUGUCCCCUUCCUCCCUCACCGCUCCAUGUGCGUCCCUCCCGAAGCUGCGCGCUCGGUCGAAGAGGACGACCUUCCCCGAAUAGAGGAGGACCGGUCUUCGGUCAAGGGUAUACGAGUAGCUGCGCUCCUCUGCUAGAACCUCCAAACAAGCUCUCAAGGUCCAUUGUAGGAGAACGUAGGGUAGUCAAGCUUCCAAGACUCCAGACACAUCCAAAUGAGGCGCUGCAUGUGGCAGUCUGCUUUCUUUU
rnacentral:snRNA from 7 species